GUCUACGGCCAAGCCACCUUGAACAAGGCCGAUGUCUGAUCUCAGAAGUUAAGCAUGGUCAGGCCUGGUUAGUACUUGAAUGGAAGACCACCUAGGAAAACCAGAUGCUGUAGGCA
rnacentral:rRNA from 1 species